rnacentral:rRNA from 1 species
AGGACGAACGCUGGCGGCGCGCUUAACACAUGCAAGUCGAACGUGAAGCCGGAGCUUGCUCCGGUGGAAAGUGGCGAACGGGUGCGUAACACGUGAGCAACCUGCCCCGAAGACUGGGAUAACACCGGGAAACCGGUGCUAAUACCGGAUAUCUUCUUCCGAUCGCAUGGUUGGAUGAAGAAAUGGAUUCCGCUUCGGGAUGGGCUCGCGGCCUAUCAGCUUGUUGGUGAGGUAACGGCCCACCAAGGCGACGACGGGUAGCUGGUCUGAGAGGACGACCAGCCACACUGGGACUGAGACACGGCCCAGACUCCUACGGGAGGCAGCAGUGGGGAAUCUUGCUCAAUGGGCGAAAGCCUGAAGCAGCGACGCCGCGUGCGGGAUGAAGGCCUUCGGGUUGUAACCGCUUUCAGCAGGGACGAAUUGACGGUACCUGCAGAAGAAGGCCCGGCAACUACGUGCCAGCAGCCGC